UGGGGAAUAUUGGGCAAUGGGCGAAAGCCUGACCCAGCGACGCCGCGUGGGUGAUGAAGGCCUUCGGGUUGUAAAGCCCUGUCAUGCGGAAAGAACAGUCUCGUAGUGAAUAACUACGUGAUUUGACGGUACCGCAGGAGGAAGCACCGGCUAACUCCGUGCCGGCAGCCGCGGUAAUACGGAGGGUGCAAGCGUUGUUCGGAAUUAUUGGGCGUAAAGGGCGCGUAGGCGGUAAUGAAAGUCAGAUGUGAAAUACUUCGGCUCAACUGAAGAACUGCAUCUGAAACUUCAUAACUAGAGUACGGAAGAGGGAAAUGGAAUUCCCGGUGUAGAGGUGAAAUUCGUAGAUAUCGGGAGGAACACCAGUGGCGAAGGCGAUUUCCUGGUCUGGUACUGACGCUGAGGCGCGAAAGUGUGGGGAGCAAACAG
rnacentral:rRNA from 1 species